rnacentral:misc_RNA from 1 species
CCGAGUUUACAACUCCCAAACCCAAUGUGAACCGUACCAAACUGUUGCCUCGGCGGGGUCACGCCCCGGGUGCGUCGCAGCCCCGGAACCAGGCGCCCGCCGGAGGGACCCCCCCAAACACUCUCCUGUAGUCCCCCGCGGACGCUAUUUCUCACAGCUCUGAGCAAAAAUUCAAAAUGAAUCA